rnacentral:rRNA from 1 species
GAUGAACGCUGGCGGCGUGCCUAAUACAUGCAAGUCGAGCGAACAGACGAGGAGCUUGCUCCCCUGAUGUUAGCGGCGGACGGGUGAGUAACACGUGGAUAACCUACCUAUAAGACUGGGAUAACUUCGGGAAACCGGAGCUACUACCGGAUAAUAUGUUGAACCGCAUGGUUCCACAGUGAAAGACGGUCUUGCUGUCACUUAUAGAUGGAUCCGCGCCGCAUUAGCUAGUUGGUAAGGUAACGGCUUACCAAGGCAACGAGGCGUAGCCGACCUGAGAGGGUGGUCGGCCAGACUGGAACAGAGGCACAGUCCAGACUCCUGCAGUGGGCAGCAGUAGGGAAUCUUACGCAAGGGACGAGAGCCGGACAGUGCAACACGGCGGGAGUGAUGAAGGUCUUCUGAUCGGAGAGCUCUGUAAGUAGGAAAGAACAAAUGUGUAAUUAACUGUGCACGUCUUGACGGUACCUAAACAGAAAGCCACGGCUAACUACGUG